CCUACGGGGGGCAGCAGUGAGGAAUAUUGGUCAAUGGACGAGAGUCUGAACCAGCCAAGUAGCGUGAAGGAUGACUGCCCUAUGGGUUGUAAACUUCUUUUAUAUGGGAAUAAAAUGUUCCAUGUGUGGGAUUUUGUAUGUACCAUAUGAAUAAGGAUCGGCUAACUCCGUGCCAGCAGCCGCGGUAAUACGGAGGAUCCGAGCGUUAUCCGGAUUUAUUGGGUUUAAAGGGAGCGUAGGUGGAUUGUUAAGUCAGUUGUGAAAGUUUGCGGCUCAACCGUAAAAUUGCAGUUGAAACUGGCAGUCUUGAGUACAGUAGAGGUGGGCGGAAUUCGUGGUGUAGCGGUGAAAUGCUUAGAUAUCACGAAGAACUCCGAUGGCGAAGGCAGUUCACUGGACUGCAACUGACACUGAGGCUCGAAAGUGUGGGUAUCAAACAGGAUUAGAUACCCUUGUAGUC
rnacentral:rRNA from 1 species